rnacentral:lncRNA from 1 species
AGAAAAUCCUAUGAAUAUGACAUUUGUAUGAAAUUGUAAAAAAACCUUUGAACAUGAUAUCUACAUGAAAUUGCAGAAAAUCCUAUGAACCUGAUAUCUGUAUGAAAUACAGAAAUACAUAUGAACAUGAUAUCUAUGUGAGGCAUAGAGUUUCAGCAGUUAACUAUACAAAAAUGCAGAAUUUCAGAAAUAGUAUUUCCCUACAGCCAUGGUAUCUACCCCUUUUGCAUGCAUGAUUGCCCUCUCUUUUUACUAACACCCCAGCAAUUAUUACAAUUUUAUUACAAACCAAAUGAAUCAGACAGAAAGUAAAAAUACAUCAGUGAUUCCAUCUAAAUCUAAUCAGCCUAAUUCAGACUGAAAGUCUAAUAAUGUGAAAUAAACCAACUUCCGAGAUCAAAAUUUUAAAGUCUUUCUCUUAUUUGGGACACCUCAAGGUUCCAAUGAGCUUCAAGAGAUCCAUGAAAUGCUUACACCCCAAAUAUCAUUGCAGAAUUAGAUUAUAGUGCAGUGUGGAAGGGUCAGCCCUCAAAUUUCCAAGUUCAAAGGGAACUCAAGGUCCCAAGGUAAGGCUCAUAGGACAGGGCAAAACUUAGAGUCUAGGAGGAAGUGUAAGUGCGGGGGGAGGAAAUGGUAAUCUAGUGGUCAUGCCAAGCAAUUUUAAGUGCUAGCACGCCCCUGACCAGCUUGACAUUUUUCAAAUUGAGGAGUUAAGACCUAUUGAAGGUCAGGUUCAGACCUGGACAGCUAUAUGAAGUCUGCCAGACCAUAAACUUUAACUCAGCAUACAUAGGGGAGUAGGGAUAUGGGGUUCAUAAUAGAAAUCGAAUACAAGGAAAAAGUAGGCAAAGGGCAUGCUCAGCAAUGGAAUAUACUACACACCCUUCAACUUACUUGGGGUAAAUAUUUAGUUCAUAUACAACAAUUCAUGUUGCCAUGCUCUGUAUCCCCACUUAUAAACAUAUAGAGGGUAAUGGGAUAGGGGUCAAGUGUUUACAAGAAAGUAAAACAAACAGUAGCAUAUGAGCAUGUCAAACUCUGGAGGAACUAAACAUAGAUGUAUAGACUAUAAGCAAACACUCUGCAGGAACUAAACAUAGAUGUAAAGACUAUAAGAAAACACGUUGGAAUAUAAUGGAAUUGAAUGACGUACUAGUUACAAAAGAGAUAAACAAAGAGAGAGCAGCACUCUUGUGAAUGCCAAAGUGCAGACAAGAAUAUUGUUAAGUCAAAAUUCAACAGAGAUUGUGAGAAUUAUAAAUGUUAAGUCUAAAGUGUAUUCAGUUGCAUGCUUUGUGAAAAAAGCGGGUCGGGUAUUUAUAGUUUGAAAAUAGGUAGAAGUAAGGGAAGAAUCAUAGUAAUUAUGGAACUAUAUACCAAUUACAAUCAACCAACAUAAGAACUUUCUUUAAUUACGAGUUUAAACCCAAACGGUAAUGGACAUCAAUCACAUAAGGGAAAGAAAUCAAGUAAACAUCUUCUGUAAAAUAGGAAAUUAGGGGUAAAUAUAUAGGGGUUUAACAAAGAAAAAUAUUAAUAAAGAAUAUUUAAUGUACACGGUUACCCAAAUAAGGUAAGAAAAACAGUAAAUCAAUUAGUACAUAGUAAAUCAAGGAAUCACGGAUUCGAAAUUACCAAUGAACCAAGUCAAAAAUAAGUGAAUCGAGAGGCUAAAGAAAGUUUCAAAUCAAACAGAAAAACAAGGAAAGAAUCAAUCCGGCUUACACAAAGAAGGUCUGAAGUCAUUCCAAAAUCUAAGGUUAGAGGGACAUUCAGUGUAUAUAAUGAUUCCACAAACAUUAGGCGGGAGAGGUUAAAUCAUGGCAAAGAGAAACAUCAAUAAUAACUACAAAGUCUGUAGACAGUGAAACAUGGUAGUUACAUAGGUCGAUUCAGUAAACAGGGAGAAGCGGGUAUCAGAAGCAUGCUAAAGAGUCAAGUAAAAGACCCUUCUGGAAAGUGUAUUUUAGUUCAAAGAUUGCAAGAAACCAAAUCACAUAGAGAAACAUAAGUUAAAACAAGAAGGACUUUGAAUCAAGUCGAGCAACUUCACAUAGAUGAAGUAGUUUUCAGAAGCUCGAAUAAGUCCAAAAGAGUUAGGGCUUUGAAAUCAAAUGCAUUUAGAGAUGAUAACCAAACAAAUCACACAUCAAACAACCUCGGAACUCGAAUGAACCCCAAACCAUAAGUCUUUUGCCAUCAAUCGAGUGUAGAGGUGAAAGAUAACUAAUCAGCAAACACUAUUAUGAAAACAUUCAGAAACCUCAAAAGAAACUAAGAUUCUUGACAUGCAAGUUUUAGAAUGACAUAAAGAAAUACUGUAAAGGGGAAACACAAAAACACAGUAAAAGUACAACAUAAUAAACAGGUAGAAGAACAACAUAAGAAAUAUCAUAGAACAUGUUAAAAUUCAGAAAAGCUUUGAAAUAACUUAGCGAAACCAUAAAUCUGAAAAGAUGGAGGUUUUAAAGCUGAGUUUUGUAGGAAACUCGAGAAAAUGUUUAAGAAGAUUGGAGAACACAGAUCUACAACGGAUCUAAAAAAAUCGGAAGAACCUCGAAGGUUAUGGUUUCAGAAGAACCCCAAAUAGUGAUAUAGGCUUGGAAAGUCAUGAUCUAAGCAGGAGAUAUCAAGACCAGGCUUGAACAGCCAUGGCUGGUCGGAGCAAGGUCGAACACAACCAAAGAACUUGAAUCAAACAAGGUCUGGGCCAAGCUUCUUCAAGGUUUGUCCUUGAAACCAUGGUAAUCAGGCGUGUAGGAGUCACGUGACUUAGAUACGCCUAUCAAUGGCUUUUGAAGCCAUGGAUUUGGACGGUUUUAGGUGAUGAUAGAAGGUGGCGGCUAGGGUUUCUGAGAGAAUUUGAGAGAGAAUUAGGAGAUUGGGCGGGGGGUUCAAGGGAGGC